CUGAGGGGAGGCGCGCGCGCCGCGCUGAGGGGCCUGCGCGUGCCUCUGAGGGGGGCAGCGCGUGCCGCUGAGGGGGCGCGAGCGUGCCGAGGGCGGGAAACCGUGAGGGAGAGACCGACACACACACACACACACACACACACACACACACACACAUACAUACAUACACCCGGCCCCUUCCCAGAGCUCGGGAGGUGAAGCUCCCACAGAACCCCGAGGAGCAGCCCCGGCUUCUCUCCCACGGCGAGGAACGGCUUUUCCAGAGCGCUCCGGAGCGCGGCUUUCCCUGGAGCAGAGCCGGGACGGGGGUUUUCCUCGCGCUUCAGCGCAUCCUGAGGGGACGCGCGCCCGAGAUUAAAAAGCAUUAAGACUUCGCAUAUCACUGAGGCUGAGCAUCAUGCAAGAUCUGUCAAGAGUCAAUUUUUGCCUAAAGAGACGUGUUUGGGAAAGAAAACACAGCUUUCUGCCUAAUUAGACAGGUUUGAGACAGAAAACACAGUUUUACAAAGGGGUAGGUGAAUCAGCAAAGAAAACAACAACAAAAAAAGUUGAAAAUCUUUCUGGGAGUACCCAGAAAGACACAUUGUAGCAGGGCAGUUCUUUGCAAGAAUGUUGCUCCAGGCACCCUUUUGGUCCUGGAAACCUUGGACAAUGCAAGACUGUUACCAAUACAAGAAACAUUUUCUAAAUACAUGUGCAAAAAAGUUUUAAAUACCGGUGUUCAACCCCUACACCCACAGUUGUUCAUGUGCCUUUCACUACCCAGCCAUGAGCAGUUAAUCCAACGCUUCAUAGCAAACUGCAUUCUUCAUCUUAUCUAUUAAUUCAAUUUUGACCAAAACAUUUCUUCUCUUGAGCUGUUUUCUCUCAGUAUGCAAUACACUAGAAAUCCCCUUAUUUAAUUGUGAAGUAUCUCUGUACUUUACCGGGUACACUGAUUAUUUCUUAAUUGCAUCAGAUGCAACACUGAAAAGGGGGUUUUUUUCUUCUUCUUUUGGCCAUGUUUAUCGUAGUCUCUGUCAUAAAAAGAAUGUCAAGUCACUUUAGCCAAGUGCAGUUAUGGAGCAAUGUAUCUAAAUAAAAAUACUGUAAUAUAUCAGAACCAUAAAACAUUUUAGUACUGGGGCCCAGAAAACAUUAAUCAUUAUCUUACACAGUACAUACUGCACACUUUUAAACUUUGUAUAAAAAUGCAAUUACUUGAAACAUCAUGUUAUUUUGAGCAGGCACUCAGACUUCAGGAUUUUUAAAGCAGGAAAGCAACAAAACAAGAGCAAGAGAGAAGUUGGACAGGUCUGCUUCUCAAGGGAAAGGAGUACUGAUCUGAUCUUUCAGCCACAGGCCACAUUUACCAAUUUAAUUACAAUUACUGUUUGCCAGAAGAAUCAUAAUGCAGUGUGUUAUUAAUUAUUUGUCCAUUCAAAUAUCACAUUCAGCCGGUUAAGUCAUCAAUAAAAUCAUGACUUGAGUGGCAAAACAAACAAUGUGCAGAGCAAACACUUGAAAGCAUCCAUUUCUGGGCUAGAUGUUGUCAGUAAAGUUAUCCCACAAACAGCCAGACAGCAAAUACAUUCACUGAACACAGAAUUCACAUGGAACCACAUUGAAAUAAUGUGGAUUUUUUUUAAGAGUUGGGGUUUUUUUAUUUAUGUAAGGAUAUUAUGAAAGGCAAGAAAAUAACAGUGCAUUGUUCUCCAGCACUAGUGUCUCCAGCAUAAAACAAUCAAUUUAAAGCCAUGCAAAAUGGCUAAUACUGUUAUUGCUGUCCUUUUUCAUAACUCAGUGUCAUUUUAUUCAUCUUGCCCCUAAGAAAUGACCUUUUCUGUGCAUAUCCCCACCUUUUUCCACAAAUCCCCUGAGUGACAGAAUCUCAUCCUAAUCCCAUUUCCAUUUAGAUGUUGCAGAAAAGCACUGUAGACCUUCGAGGGAACAAGUAAUCAUAAUGGAAAGAUAAUAAUAUGUUUAUGAAAUCUGGAUUUUUAUAAUAGCAAAUUGAAAAAUUACAAUAGUAUUUCAAGCCACCGAAGGUCAAUGUUACCAAGAGCAAAAAGCCAUUGAUCAAGUGUGUUUAAAGUUUCCCACUUCAGGUUAAUUUUUAACACAAAACAUCUCUAUUUCAGAGAGCAGCACCUCUCUUCUGAGGCGAUUCCUCAUCUACCUAGUGAUCACAAAACCUGGUGUUAAAGCCAGUAGUUGUUUGUAAGGAAAAAUAUACUCAAUAUUUUUCUACAGACCUAAAAAGCACAGAACAACUUCACAAGGCUCUACAAAAUGCACCAUAGGCCACAGUUUAAGAACUCCAGCCCUUAGUAAUUCUUAAAGGUAAAAACAUAUGUAAAAUCUCAUAAAUAAAUAUAUCAAAAUACUCCUUUCAAUAUUAUGCAGUUGUACCUUUUUCUGCUAGAGGUAAAUUUGCUUACUUAUGCCUAAAAAGAACACCAAAGUUGUACAUACAGACAACCACUGAAACUUCACUGAGGUCCUAGAUUAAAAAAAAACAAAGCCAAUCAAAAACUAGCACUUAAACCAUGUCCUCAGCUAAUUAAGGAGUUUCCCCCUCUCUUUGAGCUUCAGCUUUCCCCUGUUUUAAACCCCAGCUCAGACACAUCAACAGCCACUGGGACUCGAUGGAGUUUUCUGUGACUGAACCAGCAUUUGUUACCUGUAAAAGAUUUUCUUGUCCUCCUGCUCCCCCUGAAGGGCUCAGUGCUGCUGCCAAGGGCGGCUGUGCUCUUCCCUUCACCCUGGUCCUGGCCCUGCAGCCUCUUCUCUCUUAUCCCAGCUCUGGUUCCCAACCAAUCCCCUUGUACAACGGGACAGUUCAUUCACUGAUGAAAAGCUAAUUGGGGUUUUUUUGCUGAGUUCAUUUUAGGCUGGCCUGACUUGCUGAAGCUGUGACACCAGAGCUGACAUGAAGAAAGCAUCAGGAGAGCACAUCCACACACCAAACCACCCCUUUUGGAGACAAGAUGUGAGAUCAGACGCUGCAAGAGCACACAGCAAUUUCUGGUUGCAACAAAACACUCAACAGACCUUGAGACCCUCCGUGCUUCUGACUUCUUCCAGGAACAUUUGGGAGCACCUCAACUGCUUCUGGGGUCACAAAAUUCCUUCCAGCACGAGGAACAGUGAGUCUGAAGGAGCUGCUUGGCAGAGCUCUUUGGGCUGAGUGACUGGGCUGAGCCAUUCCCAAGGUGGAACUGCUGGACUUGAUGUUGGCACACCGGAGACUCUUGAUCUGAUCUUCUCUCAGUUUGAAAGCUGCUCUCCCGUGCCUGCCUGGCACACAGGGAGCCCCCUCCAGCAUAUGCCACCUCAGCCUCAGGUGCUGGCACAGCCUGAAUCCUCAUCUCCACUUCGUGGACUCCUCGUUAAUCUCUAAGGUUGGAAAAAGAAGUUUCUGAAGUUUAUUAAAAAACCCUCUGAAUUAAUUCUGCCUUUGUGUGGUCAGCCUGUGAGUCUGGAGCACACCUGAACCAAGGAGCAAAUUAAGGUUAAGUGCAGUUUACCUGAGAAACCAUAACUGCCAUACCUGGGUGCAACAAAGUGUGGAAGCUCUUGAAGCCCCAACUCAUUAUUGAGAGAUCACAAUUGUGAAGCCAGUUGAUGAGAACAGAAGAAGGAGCAGAUGAUGGCACCAAAAGCUGCCCUGGAGCUGUGCCUGGUGCAAACAGCAUCCCGUGUGGAGGGAGAAGCAGAUCGUGCUCCUGCAAAGUUGAGAUCCCAAGUGGAGGAUUCCUGGUGACAGCCAGCGCUACUGCCGGGAUCUGGGAGCUGCCUGCGGGCGCCGAGCUGGAGCAGAGCAAGCAGAGUCAGGAGUGCUCAUAUUGACAGAUCAGCAUGGUGGAUUUUAUGGAGGAUUUCUACAGCUGAGGGAUAACUGUGAAUUCCCAGGUUCUCCUCUGAUGGUGUCCAUCUCACAGAGCUCUGUUAGGAAGCAGCAAGUGGACCUGGGCCGUGUGAGCACCUGCCAGGAUCUCCACUCACGAAGUUCAGGACCAGACUUCUUUUUCAGCCUGAAAUAUUCCUGUUGGGCUCUCAGACACUCAGUGGAGUGACAGCAAACAUUUUGAAAAUGUGCAGGUGGUAAAACAUUGUCUGCCAUGAACUUCAUGAUGCAAAAAAAAAGAAAGAAGAAAAAGCUGUGGUUUGGAAGCUGCUGGAUAGCAAACUGCAGGCUGGGAAUGUGGCUGCUGAAACCACUGCAAGGAUAACAGGGCAUACACAGGGCUCUCUGUGACUGGAAGAACACUUUACAGAGAGACUGGGGCAGUGCUGUGAGGCAGCACAGGAUGUUUUUAGCCAUGGACAUGGCAGCAGUAACAGCCAUGUCUCCAGGCCCUGCUGUAUCCCAGGUUCCCCUUCUGAGGCUCCGUGCCUGCUCCUGCCAUCCUUGAAGCACAGGAUCCAUGACCAGCCCACAACAGGUUGAAGAGAAGAAGGGAAUCUUCCAGGUGGCUGUGUCUUGAAAACCAGGUGCUGCUGUGGUUGCCUCCUGCCCGACCGUGCUGCACUGCUCCAAGGGACUGACCAGGUGGGUGCAUACAGGAACUCUGCCCCUCAUCCCCCAUCCUUCUACUCCUCUGCCACUGCUCAGGCUCUGUUGAGCUGGUGGGAGAUGGUUCUCCUGGCUCCUGAGUGCCCCAACUCCUCCUGCUUGGAAGGGUUGCAGCGAGAGGCCUGUGAGAGGAGCAGCAGGUUUAGGUGGUGCAGAGGUGCCUCAGCACAGACCGCAGUGGUGUCGGGCGAGGGAGCCUGAGGGAGGUGGAGAGGCAGCCCUUGUGUUCUGUCUCUCUGCCAGUUGUCCCAGUGCCCAGAGGGUGUGAUUUGUGAGUGUCCUUUGGCACAGCUGCUCCAUUGCCUGUGUAUUUCUGUGCGGGGUUUCCAGGUCAGUUGGUCUGUGGGGUGGUGCCCAUCUUUUAUUUCAAGAGGGACAGAGUUCAGGGGUAGGAUCAGAUGUGUGGAGGGGAUGGCAGCCAGAUGGAUAUCAAGUCAGCAUUGUCAAAUUUAUUUCUGGCAUGGGAAAGGUGAGUGUUAGCAAGAAAGAGUAAGUCUGAGAGAUGUCCUUUGAGACAAGGCUGGGAAAAAAAAUCUCUUGGAAUGCAAUUUUGGCCAUACAGCAAUGUGUGGUAAUAUUUUUGGGGCCACAACUUCGCCACCAAUGUUUUUGUAAAUAUAUUUCACACUGACAAUAUAUGGAAAUACCUCAUGAGUGCUCAGUGCUCUUUAAAUGCCCUCCUACCACUCCAAGCUGGAUUUGCUCUGGUUUGUGACACACGUGCCAUCCCUGGUGCCCCACAGGUUUUGUGCCAGGGUGCCACUACUGCACAAACCUGAAGGAGGUUAAGUUUUAAAAUAACCAUUCCCGAGGCUGUAAACCGAUGUGAAGGCAACAAAGUGCUGGAGAUGACUUGUGAUAGUCUCUUUGAAAAUGCUGGGUCCUUUUUCCCCCCAUCUCAUCUCACCUUAAAUGUUUGCUAGCAUUAAUACCAGUGAUCUCUCACUUCUGCUGCUUUUCAUUAAUGGGAUGUGGUUUGCCUGGGCAAACCCUGGGCACUGGCACUGGAAACACUUGCUUUAUUUAAAAAUAAAAACAAAAAAGAGAGAAAAAAAGGGCUCUGAUUACUCAGGUGUCGAAAGAAAAAACUGAGAUGUUGUGCCAGAUGGCUGCAUUUGUGAAGCAGAGUGUAGUCAGAAGGAAAGUGGAAGGAGACAAGGCAACUGUACAUCACAAGUGUGAAAACAUGACCAAAAUACCUUCAGCCUUGUUUCACCAACACUGGAUUAGGAGGCAACUGUGGUGAGAUGCAAGCAAAGAAAAGCAGGAGGGGACACUGUUUGGAAAACAAAAAUGCCUUUCAAUAAUGAACUGCUUUACUUCCUCCAGCAAAAGCUUAGAAGUUUACAAAAAUCAAGAGUUUUUGCAUUAAAUGGAAGGACUGUGAGCCAGUAGAGCAGUGUGUCUGGUGUCAGUGAAAGGUUGCUCGCAGGCUGUGUCAUGGGCUCAGUUUGCAUUAGAGCAGGAUGUGCUGCUGCCAAUCACCAGUAAGUAACCACUGUCCCCAGUGACUGUGACAGUCCCCAGCUCUGUGCCAUGGCUGCAGAUGUCCAGGAAGGGUUUUCCAGUAACACGUGGGAGGUGCUGGAUCUCACCUCAGGCAUGUUCACGGCGUGUGCUCAUUGCUUUGCCUGUGCCCACACAAGUGGUACCCAGCAGCCCUGGGUUGCAGUCUGGGGUAGUGUCAGCUCUCAAAAGUGGGGGCUUUUAGUAACACCACAGGCUGGUUUGUGCCUCAGGCUGUUUGGACACGUUGCUCACCUCGUUGAGAAGCUUUAAUCAACUUUUGAUGCCAGGGCAAAGUAUGUGCCGAGACCGUAAAAGCCUUGGCAGGACCAUGGGUGAGUCCUUCAUUACCCUUUUAUAUCCUGAAAUGGAUCCUGGGUACUUUGAGCUUUGCUUCCAUGCUGAAGCUUUUGGCUGUCACACAGGGAAAAGUUUAGAAUAAUUUGAUCUGAGAUCAGAAAUCCAAAUUUUAUUUUUUUUUCCAUGCUUAAGCUGGCUCUGCCCAGAGUGUUUUGGAGCUCUGUGCUCUCUCCUCCUCUGUGGUCUCUAAGGGGAAAAGGAAAGCUCUGACAUGGGCUCCGAGGGUCACUCUGAAGGCUUGGCCUCUUGUAAAUUGGCCUUGGCUUUGGCCUUGGUUAUAUCUUGGUUUAUAAACUUGAGUUUCAUCACGAGAGUCUGAAAUCCUGGUGUUCUUAGAUUGCAGUUUGAUUAGAACAUCGCAGGAAAAUCUGUGUUAAUUUUUACCAAAGCUAUUUCCACAUGGCUUUCUCACCCCCAGCCUCCAAAACUACUUCAACUUUCACAGGUACUUUCUCACAGUGAACUUUAUCCAAAUAUGUUGAAGGUAGGUUACUAACAACAGGUACAGAGAAUGUGGCAGGAACAGCUCUUCCUCUGAUUCCUGCUCUGUUGCUACUAAAUCUUGAAUGCAAAAGUUUCAUUCUUUUAUUUUUAUAAAAUCUGAAUUUCUGUAAUAACUUUGGAUCAAAAGUUUAGUCUCCAUGCCAGGAAGAUGUUGGGUUUUUUUAUUUGCUACAAACUACAUUGUCUUAUUUGGGGAGUAUGUUCACAAUUGAGAAAGAAUUGCCUUUAUUAACAAAUCAAAAGCUUGUGCUGUCAAAACUGAAAUCAUUCUACCUUUUUAUGUGCAAAUUAGAGCUUCUGUCAAACCUUCAGCCAUGGUGCAUUUAAUUUGUGGAAAUAUAAAAAUAUCUGGCUUAAUAUUAAAAUAUUCUGCAAGAGGAAGGAAAUACUUUACGUGAUGCAUUGCAGUCAAGAUUCUCAAAAAAAUCAGAUUUGAAAGAAAUAAAGUGGUGUUUUAACAAUUUAUUUUCCCUACUUUUACCAAAGUUCAGAGCAGUACUUUAAAGUGUAUUUAAGUUAUACAGGUGUUUGAGUAUCUGGUUGGAUCGUGGCUUUGGGAGUGAACCAAGUUAAAUGUAAGUGUGUCCAGGGCAGCAGAGCUACAUCCGCUCUGUUUUUCCUUAGAAAAGGGUCACAAGAUAUAUUUUUUUAUUUUUAAUUAAUGGCAAGGGUACUGAGAAACUUUUGAGUCUGGAUUCAGUAAGUUAGGCUAAAACAUAAAAAGCAACCCCUGGUUUCACAGUGAUCAUUUGUGUUUUGGAAGGUCUUUGUAGAGACGAUAAAAUUCAGAUUAUCUGAAGUUGGGCACUGGUUCUAUAUUUAGGAUUCCAAAAUAAAGAGCUGCCUGUUUUCCCAGCAGUGCCCAGAUGCUCCACCGUUUGGGAAAGCCAGCAUGGUGGGCCUGGUUGUCCUACUGUUGGCCUGGUUUUGUUGGGAGAACAAGGAAAACCGUGGUCUCCAACUGCAGUGCUGCAAACUGCCUGCAGAACCCCCUUUUCAGUGUCUUCAGCUGCACUUUGGCUCAUGUUUUUUUUCUAGCAUCCCUGCAGGCUACUUGAUGUUUAAUUCCCAGCUCUCCUUCUGUGACCUGGGAGCCUUUUCCAUGGCUCUGUGGGAGGAGGGGUCCUGUCCAGGCAGGCUGUGUUUGCCCAUAGGUUUUUCCCAAUCAGAUAUUCAAAUAUCCCGGCCUGUCUUUGGGGAGGUUUUAACGGUGCCAAGUCCAUUUUACCUCAUUAUUUCCAAGGCCUGAACCAGGGACAUUUGCCCUUCUGCAGAGCUGAGAGGGGAGUAAGUGGCUGUUUCUUGAGGAGCAGACUCACUCCCUGAAGUGGCCCGUUAGGCUCGGGGCAGUGCAUGCAAUUAUCCUCUGGAAAGGGCCGCGGAGCAGUGCGUUAGUAUGUGUGUGUCUGGGCUGGGAUGUGCCCGGGAAAUCACAGCCCAGGUGUUGUGUUUCCAGCCACCUGGCCCACUCCAGCACUCACAGGGAAGAGCCCUUCCACCCCCACCAGAAUAGUUGUGACCACCCACUUCUCCUGUGCAGAGGGUACAAAAAGUAUUUUAUGAAUCUUGUCAACUGUCAGAAGUUCCUUUUGGGUGGUAAAUGAUUGUCUGCAGGAAUCCAGAGCACUCGGUCCUCUACUACUUUUAUGCCAAUGUUGUUAGCAAUGCUUAAUUCCACCAUCCUGGGGUUUAAUUUGUCUAAUUCUUCUGGGUCAUCUCUGUAAGGGAGUUUCCACAGGCUGGAUGUGCAGUGCAUUAAAUGUGAAGGUGUUUAUUAGCCCAGUAGCCAUAAUUAAUGGCAAGGCAGCUACCGAGGCCGUGGGUUGUCCCAGGUUUUGCCCACAUUCUCUUUCCAUAUCCACUCCCCAGCAUGAAUUUAUGUGAUGUUCAUAUUCUGCUUCUCACCAUUAGAAACCAACAAAGUGGUUUGGGUUGGGAUCUCCUAUUUCAGGCCAUAAACAUAUGAUCCAGCCACCCCAUAAAGUACAUUCCUCCAGCUUUCCAUGAAUUCUCAAGUAUACCUAUGGCACGCAGGGGAGCUUGGGUCUGGUCCCUCCAGCCAGAGAAAAUCCUGCCCAACAAAGCUGUGAGGCACACUGGGAAUUGCUCAAGUGCUGAAGCUUCACCCAAACUAGUAAGCUGUGCCUUUGUGCUGCAGGCACGUUUCCCAUGGUUUCUGCCAGGAGCCUCUAAAACUCUGGAUGCUGUGCUGUCCCCAUGACCUGCUUCCAUGCAAGGAUUCAGGGAAAAAGGUCUCUAGGCUCCAUGGUUUGCAGCCAGAGGGCUGGUGGGAGGCUCAGGCAUGGAGGGGAGGGCACUGGUAAGCCAGGCACCCUGGCUCCCCUGCCAGGAAUGCUGCAGCCUCGUGCACUUGAUCCUUUAAUUGGCCCAUGUGCACGCUGGACAACUCUCUCUUUAUUAUUGUUAUUAUUAUGCAAUCAGACACUACUUACUUACAGAAUGUGCUGGAGAUGCACUAUUUAUACAGAAACUAUGUACACUGAAACCCAUUUUCUCCAUGGUGAUUGCAGAUAAUGUGGAAAGCUCUGCUUUGAUUCAUUAAUAUAGCAAAAGAGAUAUUCAGGAUUAUUUGGUAUAAUUCACAGCACUUCAAAAUGCAUAUAUUUUCAUAAUACUCUAAAUCUACCUCUUGGGCUGGUAACUCAAGCAGAUGACAACUGGUUUGCCAUAGUGCUGUCAUCUUAAAAUUGUAGUGGUGCCAUUUUUUCACUGAAACCUGGAAGCUCAUUUAGCACAGGAUGCCUGAGGAAAGCCCUAGAGAACCCCCCCAGAUGAAGGGCUUGGGAAACUGCCAAACUGAGAACUUGUCUUUCACAGAAUCAUAGAAUAGCUUGGGUUGGAAGGAGACCUUGAAGAUCAUCUAGUUCCAACCCCUCAAAAAGUACAACUCCAAAGUGAUGCUCAGAAAAAAAAGUAAAAGUUUUUAAGUAAUUUUGUUUCUUGAGUUGAAAAAAAUAACCAAUGAGUUAAUUUUAAUGAGUUCAUUUUCAUUAGGAGAAGAGUAUCUUUUAAUUUAUUUUUUUUUUCAAAAUCUUGUGCCCCUUGGUGUUGGGUUUUUGGCAAGGUGAGUAAGCAAACUCUUCAGAUUAGCAAUGAAUCACUGGUACCUCCCCUCCUAUUUCACAUCCAUUCCUUUCUUACCUUAUCUGGACCAUCCUUCUGCCUGCACUGACCUGGGCAUGGCUUCAUUUAAGCCAGUGCUGGAUGAGUCUUCAGAGACUUGCCACUUACAUUCACACAAACAAAUCUCUGGCUUUAAGCACAGCUUUAAAGAGAGAGUCUCAAAACUCUUUCUGGCCAAUGGUAACCUUUGGCAAAUCCUUAUAAUUUCUGAGUGUGGGUACAGGUUAUUUUUUUAACCAACGCAGAUGGCACUUUCUGACAGCCAUUUACAGUUUUUGCACCCAACCAUCACAAUAGACCUCACCACCCUCACAGCAAGGCUUGUCCAAGGCACUCUUGGAGACAAGAUUUAAAAUAUCACUACUUGUGAUUCAACUUUGUCUUACACUCCUGAGACCAUCAAGUGGGGUUUUUUUAUCUUUUUUUCUUCCUCCCUUCACCUCUCUCUGACUUUACUGGGCACUGUAGUGUAUUUGCACACCUCUGGAAAUCAGUUGCAUAAUCUACAUGUAAAUGUUCCAAUUGUCAUCUGAAAAUCUUCCUUUAGCCCCACUGAGUCUCCUUGGCCCAUACCAGGCAAAUGGAAAUGUGGUCAGGCAGCCUUUUCCCUCAGUUCCCAGCUUCUCCCACCUCUGAAUCUCAGGUUGAACAUGUACCUGAUUUACCCAACUCAGUUCCCUCUAAUCAGUUAUAUAUAUAUCUUAAAUAAUUGUCUGAAAAAAUAUGCACAGAAAUUAUGAGGCUCAUUUAACAAUGAAGCUGCUUUCAUUGCAGAUAUUCCCCCAUGUGUACAUUUGCUUCUCUGCCGUAACACCUGAAAUGUUUUGGGAAAAAAUUUAAAUGUGGCCAAUGACCGCAUUUAAUGCAGGAGAUUUUGCAGCUCUGGGCUCUGUAUUUAUAGCUCUGUCAUGUUCCUUUCUUGUACUGACCUGAAGAAGAGGAUUUUUUUUCUUAUCUGAUGAAAAGGUUGUCUGUCAUGGUGUGGUUAUUGCAGCACAAAAUACUGCCUAAAACUUGACCCUGAACAAAUUUUGUACAAGGACAGUUUACCCCAGAAUUCCAAAGGAGAUGAAAUCCUCCUCAUGCAAGCCAAGGAAGCAAGCUGCUUUGGGUAUAUAAAACUGGGAUGAGUCUAAAAAUCCUUCAUGGAGCCUCAAUUGAAAUGCACUCUGUCUCUGAUCCCAGCUGAAGCCAUUUUACUCCUAGUGUUACUCCACUGAACUUGGAGUUUAACAUGGAUUAGCAUGGAUUUUCACUGAUGUGUGAUUCAGAAAUUUCAAAAUUACAUGUAUUAAUCAUUGUGUGGCUUGAAAAAAAUUAAAGGUACUUUAGCCUUAUGAAAUGAUGCUGUUGUAAAACCUUACCCAUAACCUUGGCAUUGAAAGAGGGGGUUUGUUCUGAUAUCCAUGGGCAUCACAGAGAGUUUUCCACUUGUAUCCCGUUACCUGAUGCUCAUUCUUCCUGGAAGGAAGGGGAAAGCACAACACAGUCAGGGCUUUUAAAUGAUAUCAGUUCUUUAAUUUAAGAAGCCAGUAAGUACAAAAAGUAAAUAAACAUUUGCAGUGCUCUUUUCACCAGUGCUGACUAGAUCCCAGCAUGGUCUGGACUCCCCUGAUUGUCUUCCCAAAAGUUUGACUGCCUUGCUCUUUUCUAUCUACCCUGGACUCUUAUUGCCCUUAAUAGAAUUUGUGUUCAAAGACUUUUGCCAACCAAACCAAGGAAUAAUUUCUUUACAAAUUAGUACCUUCAUAAAUAUCACAACCCUUUCACAUUGUCUGUGAACAGACUAUGAUUUUUAAUUUUUUUUUUCUAUUAGAUGUUGGUUAUUCCCAAAAUAAUUUGUGGAGGGAGGAUAAUUUUCCCUGCCUCUGUAGCAAAUUCAAAGGUAAAACAUGGUGUUUGUGCUGUGCACACAGACUGGUUAUGUGGGGCUGUUUCUUUUCCCUGAUUGAUGGAUAUGACUUAGGGAAGUUUCUUCAUUUAAGAAAAAUGACAUUUUAGUUGUCUGUGUUAUUCAUUCAGAAUUUCUUUCUGCAAAUAUUUUAAGUGGUCUGGUUCACUCACUUUUAGAAUGACUGGAGAUAGUGAUUGCAACCCACGGUCCCCUUAAGUGCACAGGAAAUAUUUCAUAUGGCAGUGCAGGAUUUUAUUCUUAUCAAAACCACAAUUUUAAUUAAGGACUUAAUUACAAAAUAUUUACUCAUUCUGCUAAAUAGUUAGUCAGCCAAUGCUUGUGGGUCCUUCAGGAGUUUUAUGUGAGUUACUCUUCACCAUUGUAAACAGGAACCCUCACGCUGGUAACUUUUGAAGAGCUGCAGUGAAAAAAUGAACUUUAAAAUUAAAGUUGAGUGCAUGAGGCAGCUCUACACCCCUGGCCAAACGAGAGGGCUGCAGACCAGCCCCGGUGGUUUGUUUUUCAGUGAGACACAAAGCCAAGAGAGGUCUGUUUUCAAAUGCUAAUGAAGCCCAAGGUGACAGAAAUUUGGCAGAGCCUGAUCCCAGCAGUUACUGGCCAGGGCAUUACUUUUAAACACCACUGAAUACAAACCUACAGCCUAGGCUGGUCCUAAAACUUCAUCUAAAAUUAAUCCAGUGCCAAAUGACAUCUCCUUAGCCCAGUUUUUUUGGCAAAGUGUUUUUCAGAGUAAGCAAUACAUAUUUUGUUAAUUUAAAAGUCCAGUGUCUAGGCCCUGGAUUGUUUGCUUCCUUUCCAGAAAUAUAUUGGAGAUGCUAAAAGUCUCCAAAACAUGCCCAGUGAGCUUCCAAGCUGCACCAGCAGUACAGGGUACAUUCACAUCGGGUAGAUGCAUUUUAGACCAUGUGUGCUGUGCAUCUUCACUACUGUCUUCAAACUUCAGCAAUGCUUCAGGAAAAAGAGGAAAAAAAAUCACAGAAAAAUAUAAAGGAAAGGCUUUCUUUGGCUCACUUACCCAGUUGACUUUGUAUUAAUUUUCCAACAACAGGAUUUACAUAAUGUAUUUUUUUUAAUGCCAAACAUAAGUAUCCUCUGCAUCCUGAAACUAUCAUCAUGUCAGUUGGAUCCAACAGAAAGAAGAAGUGAUGCAGAAUAAUGCCAAGUGUAUAUUCAUACCAGGCCAUCAGGAGGCAAAAGGAAAAGUCAAUUUGAGUAUUAUCUUGUCAGCAAAAAGUAACAUUUUUGGAAGUAUUUUUAAAGUUCAGCUCUUGUGUUCCAACCUCAACCCCCUGAGGUGUCAAUGCAACAGAUGCCCACAUCUAAGUCAGUGGGGUUGCUCUGAAUCCCAGCUUGGGGAUGCUCUGCCUGGCUCUGCCAGCUUGGCUUUGUCCCAGUGAUGCCACCCCGCUGUACUGGGCAUGGGAAGAUGUGCCCACAGAAACUCCUCCAAAGUAAAACCAAACAGCAAAUACAGACCUCUGCCUCUGCCAGACAAGUGGUUUUCCUUCAGGUGAAGAACGGCUGUUCUUUGCCACUUCUUUCUGAACAGGAAUUCAGCUGAAUGGACAGAAAAUGUUUGAAAUACGAAUUUUCAGGUGAUGGGGAGAGAAAUUUUCAGUUCCUUAAAGUUACUGUGAAAUCAACAAAUAAAUAAUCAGGGGGUGUGGUAUUCAGUCAUCUCCCUUUCAUUUUUUUCCCCCAGAAAGCAGUUUCCAGAUGGAUUUUCCCCAAGAUGUUAAUAUUGUGCUGGUUUCAAUGCUGAUUGAAGCAAGGUAGCAAGUGGUUAUUACAGGCCUGACAUGCCUGUUCUGCCAAGAAACAGCGUGAGCUUUCAGCUCAGAAAACAAGGUGAACUUUGUUGUUUCAUCAAUCUGAUUUUGCCUGCCUUGGCCAGGUAUGUGUGUUCAUGCUCACAAUGGGGAUGACUUAAUUUAUGAUCAGUUUAUUUGGACUUUUCUUAGUCAAGGCCUGAUUAGUAAGGAUGGAAACAGCAUUCAACCCAAAGGUCUUUAUUUUUUUUUUCUGGAAAACAAGUUCUUUUGAAAAACGAAUCUGCUGGCACUGUCACCACCAAGUCCUCCCUUUUCCCCUUGAGUGCCAAACUGGUCACUGCCUCACUAAGCCAUUAACUGGGAGUCAUGGACUCCCUGCCUGAGAAUCUACUGCUGGAAUAGCAAAGGUUUGGGGCAUUUUGGGAGAUUCUUGGGAUUGCAAAGUUGGUCAUAUGACUCUUACCUCCUUGUCCUGGCUUAAAACCCAACAGAGAGGGAAGUAAUGCUCUGUGCCAUUGGCAUUUGUUUUCUCUGCUUCUCAGCAUGCCUUUGCAAAGGAGAGCCAGUCUUUAGUUUUUCCUCUUGAACAUGAAUUCCUGUUCCAUCUCCUUCAUUACCCAGAUCUAGUCCAUCAGAUCAGAGACAGGAAUACAGGUCCAUGUCAGUGUAAUGUGACACAGAACCAGCAUUGAAAAUAGGGUUUAAAUGGUGGCACUAAGUUAAUUCAGUGGGAUUUUGCCUGAGAAAUAAUAUGUCAAUUAAAGCAUUACUCAGAAAGGCGUGUGCAGCACUUAAAAAAACACCUUUAAUGCUCAGGGUCCAAACAUUUCUAUAUUCUUUUUCAAAUGCCUCAUUAGUCUCAUUUUUACUUAGCUGUCUUUCUUUAAGCCCAGUGCUGCUGUUAGGAUGUGUGUGCUUGUAUUUGUGUGCAUGUGGAGGCCCAUGAUUGUUUCUACUGCUGAAACAGGCAAUAUAGCUACCGUUUUCUGAGCUGAAUUACUAUUUUGGCAAAGCAUGGAUAUUUGGAGAUAUGAAAACUGCUCCACCACCUUAAGAGAAAAAAUUCCAUAAGGUUUUGAUUCCAUAUUUUCCUGUUUUCCACUCCUCAGUUACAGGCUCGUGUUGAAAAAUGUCUUCCAGUGUUAGAACUUCUGAAGAGCAAACCUCAGAAAUUGGUAGAAAGCUCAGUCCCCAGGCAGGACUGUCUGCUAAUAAGGGAAUAAAUACAGAAUAACACAAACAAAUAAAUACUAACUAAUACCAAAGUACACCUACACUUGCGAAUUGCUUCCUCUUUUCAAAUUCUUGCCAGUUAAGCAGCACAGCAGCAUCAGCUUUCCUCACAUAUUGUAGCCUGAGAAAACAGCUUUAAAGGGCCAAAAGAAGCAAAUAAAAUGUAUUUGUUAUUCCUGCUGACCUUAGGCAGGCAGUAUGUGGAGCUGCGGGAAUCAUACACGGAAUCUCUGAUUAUAAGUAUGGUGAUAACUGGUAAGACUGUGCUGAACUACUGUGAAACAAUUCAGGUAGUCAGCAAACAGGGCUAAUUGCUAGUUUGGGGGAUAUUAUGGGUAAUUUACUGCCCACUGAGGGCUUCUACCUAAAAAUAAGCUUUUUUCUUUUUUUUUUCCCCUUUGGACAGCACUUGCAUGUUAAUGUAGAAUUCCUGAUGCAAUUACAUGUGAAGAGGACAUUCAGAUGCACUUCCAUAAAUGCCCUUCUGCUUCUCAAUUACAUUAACUGUCUUUGUAGAUCCUUUGACAGAAACCAUAUUCUUCACCUUUUUUUUCCUAACUAGCAAACAGGCACUAAGCUAGACUUUGCUGCUAUCCAAGAUGUCCCGAUCAAAGGGCUGAGAGUAAUACAAUAAACACGAGAAAAGAAACUACUGGUGGUUUCCAAUGCAAACGAACAGGAAAGUGUCAAGUGAGCAGCUACUGACAAUUCCAGCCCUGAAACCAAAUGUUCGUGUGCGAAACUCCACCUCUGAGAAGGAAGAAUAAAUACCCACAGAGUGUUUUGGCUAUAAUUACUUCAUUUAAGGGGAGGGGGGGAAAAAAGUGCUGAAUUCAGUUUGUUGAAGUCAGGAUAUUAAUAUUUUUGGCAUGUAAAGAUGUAAACCAAAUGUUUAAAUGAAAUGUCAUCCCCUGGGUUCGCGUUUGCCCAUUGAACUACGGUACAAACCCUGUGCAGACCUUCAUACAAUACACAUUUUUCAGUUCAUUGAAGAAGGCCCCUGCUGCUUCUCAAGGAAAACUAACUUGCAGAAGCAAAAUAAAUAGUGGCGUGGCAGCGCCGCAGCAGAGCCUCGGAGCACAGAUGUGCAGCACUGUCGGCUGCCCCAUCAGAUAAGGAGCAUUCAGACAUAAUCACCCCAGUGUCUGGGACACGUCGCACGCGGCAGAGCUGCCCAAGUAUGGCCUGACAGACACAUGCAGGGUGUGCUCGGGCUAAAUGGCAACAAGCUGACAGUAUUUCAUAACAGUCCUGUUAUGUCUAUAGGCAAGUGUUUGUGUAAUUUAGCUUGGGCUUUGAAAUAGGUUCAGGGCUCGGGACACAAACGGAGCUUUGUGAUGAGUUGUGGGUGAUGUCGUACCUGCGGGAUGAGGACAUUGGCCCAAGGCAGGGGCAGCCUUGGGGUGUCACACUGGGAAGCCUCUGUCGGUGCCAUCAUCUGCCCAUCCGACCAGCAGGGCUGCUCCUGGAAAAAUAUGUAUAUAUAUUUUUAAAUAAUAUACAUGAGAAGGCCACCAUGAUGACAAGAAGGGUGGAGCACCUCUCCUACAAGGACAGGCUGAGACAACUGGGAUUGUUCAGCCUGGAAAAGAGAAGGCUUUAGGGUGACCUGAGUGUGGCCUCCCAGUAACUGAAGGGAGCCCACAAGAGACAUGGAGAGAGACUAUUUGCAAGGACCUGGAGGGACAGGACAAGGGGGAAUGGCUUCAAACUCAGAGAGAGUAGGGUUAGAUUAGAUAUGAGGAAAAAAAUCUUUACUGUGAAGAUAGUGAGGAACUGGCACAGGAUGAGAAGCUGUGGCUGCCCCAUCCCUGGAAGUGUCCAAGGCCAGGUUGGACAGGGCUUUCAACAACCUGGGAUAGUGGAAGGUGUCCCUGCCCAUGGCAGGGGGUGGAACUGGAUGGGCUUUAAGGUCCCUUCCAACCCAGGCCAUUCUAUGAUUCUAUGAUAUACAUGUGUGUAUAUAUACAUAUAUAGAUAUGUAUAUAUAUAUAUAUAUAUAUAUAUAUAUAUAUACACACACAUAUAUAUACAUAUCUAUAUAUGUGUGUAUAUGUAUAGAUAUAAAUACCUAUCUAUAAAUGUAGAAAAUAUAGUUAUAAAUAUAUAUAAUAAUUUUAUAUAUUUUAUAUAUGCAUUUUAUAAAUAUACAUAUAUGUGUGCAUAUAUAAGCAUAAAAAUAGAUGUUUAAAAAUAUAUAAAAUAAAUAUGUAUGUGUGUGUAUAUAUAUAUGUGACCACAUGUUUAGCUGUGGGCCCUGCUGCACUUUGGCAUGCAAAGGGUUACUGAUAUCUGCUUUUAGGCAAGACACCUCUAAAAAAAGCAAAGAAAGUACAUUUAACCCUACAGAAAUACAGCUCACUGGGCCUGUGGUAGUUCCUAUUAAGAUAUACAAAGUAUCUCAGCAAGGGAAAAUUUAACUUACAUACAACACAUGAUUUUAAGUAAAGAAAUAUUGAUGGGGCGGGGGGGAACAAGUAUUUUUUUAGCUCUAAUUUAUGGCUGAGCAGCUUCAUUUUAGUUACUUCAUGGGAAUAUUUUAAACCAAGCCUGCAUAAUAUUAAAAUAAGUUAAAAUGUAUGUAAAAUUUAUGAGAGCAUGUCAGGUGCAAUGCUUGAUAAAGUAAGUUUAAUGCUUCAGAAUUUUUUUCUUCAGGCAGAGAAAGCUGAAUCCUGCAAUUCUAGGUUACAGUAUAAUUUUAGAAACUCUUUUCCAUUAUACCAUUCUUUUAUUAAUGAGAUCCAACCCAAUUUAACAAAAAGAGGUAAAUUCCUAAAGAGUUUGUGGAAAGUCCUCAGCAGGUUGGAGUGUGUGAUAAAAGAGGGUAUUCUCCUACUGUUCAUAGGAUCUAUCCCAUUUUAUAAAAACACAGAGGAAAUCAAUUUACAGCAAACUUUCCAAGUGUGCCUCUCCAGUGCGGUUUUCCUUCUGGAAAUGCUGCCUCGCUCCAUGAACAAACAAAAGCUUUGGCAGUUGACAGGGGUUGUACAUCACUUUGAAAACUCUUCAUUUACCAGGGGUGUGUCAUGUUGCUUCAUUGUGUGACACUCCCAAUUAUCGUGACAGAGCUAAAUGACAAAGUACUGUCACCCCACUGGAAAUUCCGAGCAGCUUCUUCCCAUUUUUCCUCCUGGUCAUGGGAACAUCGCUGAGCCGGUACAAAGGAGCGGCAGGAGCCGCAAACAGGGGCUGGAAUGGCUGCAUUCUGCUCUGCUGUAUUAAAAAUUCAGCUCCUUGGCAAUAUUAAAUCUGAAUUUACUUCCAUCAAACGGAAACUUAGCAUAUCUCAUUCUUCCAUUAUAAAAUAUUGACAUCGGGAAGAGUGAAUCCUGAAAUGAAGAUUACAGAUGAAAACUAUGCGCUUGGUAAUUAUCAUUUUUUUUUCUUUGUUAUUAUUCCUUUCCUCUGAGGAUUGCACAGGCUGUUGCAAACAGUAAUGAAGUUAGCAUGCAGUGCCAAUGCAAAGUGUGCUGCAAAGUUAGUCCUUCCCUCAUUAUGGAUGAGGGAGGCGAGGCAGCGGGAGGAGGGUGAUUUCCCCAGCCAAACUUGCACACAAGCGGGGCAGCCCUUCGCCUCACGUCUUAAUCACCAUCCCUGGUGAUGAGACCCUCGUGCCAUCUUGUUUCUGUCUUCUUUUGUUCUGCUGUUUCCCUGGGUUUUUUUAGGUCUUUUCUGGGGCUCAGAGCUAUUAAUAUCAAUGACAUUUUUUUUUUGUCACAAACUAAACAGGCAGUUCACAAAUCCUUUCACUCCCGACAAAUCCACUGCCCUGUCCUGUAAUGUUCUCGAAUAACCACAGCACUGGAAAAUACAGUUACAGGUGUGGAAAUAUCCAAGCAAUGAUUCCCAACAGCUACAGUAUGAGGAGAUCAACACACUGGGCAACCUGCACUAGAAUAACCCUUUGGUUCCUGCCUGUGGAGAUACCGCAUGGCUUGGGAUGGCUUCCCAACAGAAGAGCUGUGUCAUCACCCUUCUGAAAUUCAAACUUGGCCAAUUAACUGGUGUCUCUCUCCAAGGUGAUCACUCAGAGAGGUCCCACACAGCAUGGUUUGCAGGUGCUCACUGAGCACCUCCACACACUCCUGAACCCUCCUGGUUGCCCGUGGAUGUGCCCAAGGAGUAUGAUAUACACAGCGUCUGACACUGGACACCGCGUCCGUCUCAGAUGCUUCUUACAAAAAUCAAUCUAAAUCAAUAAAUUGUCCACUCUCCUCAUGCAGCAUUUGCAGAGGUUCAAAGACAGGACCAAUUACUCUUAAGGUUGAAUUGUCAGGUGUCAGAUGAGAAUAUAGAAGUUGAAGCAUUAUAUUUAGGAGCAGAUUUAUUUAGAGGACCUGAAGAAUUUGCUCUGCUAUCAACAGGUCUAUAAAGAGAGCUUUUAGAGCACAUCUGGCAGAAACUGUUUCCUUGCGAAUUAAUAGGAGUGUUGGUUUGGGUUUUUUUCUUUCCUAUUCUUUUUGCACAGUUCAAUCACAAAGCAGGUAAACUCACACUCAAGCUCAUUGUAGUCAAGGCAGUUAAGCUCCUGACCUUGAAGGGCUUUUGGUCCCAACCCUUCUUGCCAAACACAUUACCUUUUCAUUGCCCAAUUUUCUAGGUGAAGACGCAAAUUCCCUGUGCUUCACUUAUGGAUAAUAUAUAAAUGUCUUUAUCAUGCAUUCAGCUUCUUGGGUUCAGUCCCAAAACUGAGACCCCAACCACUCUCCAGGUCUAAAGGUGAACCUUGCCAGAACCGCAGCACACAAAUACCACAGCUUAUUCUAAUCACACAGGAUGUUCCCAAGUUUACCAGUUCUCAUCCCAGAAUACCAACCCCCCCUCUUUUAGCACUCCUGACAAAUCAAUAUGCAUUAUUAUUACGUGCUCAGAUACUACAUCAGAUUUCUGCUCAUGCCAAAAUUUCAGCUUGCUGUUCCCUGGAGUAUUUAUGCUUGUGUACUGUAUUUAACAACAGCCCAUUCAAAAUGCUCACAGCUCCUAGGAAUGAAAUGCACAUAAUUUAGGAAUAGCUAUCUGGCUAUUCAGGCAUCAUGCUGUGUCAAGGGAAAAUUAAAUCUCUGACUCUCCCCUCUCUUUUAAAACAAACCUGUACUUUGCAUCAUAUUUUGGGGAGCUGCAUGGAAGUUUCAUAAAGAGCAAGUGAGCAUGGCUCUUUUUCCUGUUUAAUGGCAGUGCCUCCCCAUUAAUGCUCCAAAAUGAUACAGUAGUUUAAAAAAAAAAUGCUCUCAGCAUGCAGGCAUUGUAUCACAUUAAGAAAUCACGAUUUUCUAGGCACUGCACAGCAUUAAUUACACUGAGCAUGCUGCAAAUUUAAAUUAAAUGAUAUGCCAUGUUCUGUUGUAAAUAUCAAAAUGGAUUGCAAGAUACAGCCCCAUAUUUGCUUCUGAUUGGCAUUUGUGCACUGAACAGGAUCAGAAAACCUCUAUGAUAUAUAAUUUCUUUUUGGUUUUUAGGCGCACCUGAUGCAAACAUACUUUUUAUUUUCAGGAGUACCUAAGAGCACAGUUAUGGGUCAGAACUUGCCUGUACUGAAAAAAAAACCAAACAAAUCCUCCCUCAAUAAUAAUAAUAACAACAAUAAAACAACAGAAAAAGCCCUGUUUGCCUUCAUUCCCCCCUUCUAACAUAACAAAAUAAAAUAUGUUUCUUUCCCCACAGCAAGUAUUUACAAUAUAGGGAAUGGAGGGGCACUGAGUGGAAAAUGGGGAAUAUGAAGCAGGAGGAUAUUAUUUUUUAUCAUGGAGUUGAGUACCCAGGAUACCCUUUAAGCAGAUGUGGGGUUCAGAUCACCCCAGCAUAGAAGAGCUGCUCUUUAGAGCUGGAAUUUAGGGCAGAAGAGGAGUGAGGGGUGAGCUGGGCUUAGGGCUGGCUCAACUCUGUUGUGAUGAGGCAAGCCUGAUCUGGUGAUUCAGCGAGAAAAAGUGAAGAGAAUAUAAGCAAUAAAAGAAGGUCUGUUAGUAUUUGUAUUUUUCUCGGCACAGAUAUUUUGCAAUUUUAUAAUAUCAGAUUGACUUGUCACAAUCUCACAAGCCUCUGCCCUUAAACACCAGGGUGAGGUGUAUUUCUAGUGUAAUUUCACAUAUUUCUAUGUGAUUAAAUACUAAACAAAUAUUUUACAACUUUGCACAUCAGAGAAAGGAUGGCAUUUAGUUAUUUGUAUAGAGACAGCGUUAAAAAAAAAAAUAAAUCUGUGUUUUUCAGGGCUGAUUUAAGACUUUAGGAAAUGAUGAGCCCUGAGCUGAGAACUACAAAGUGAGUGCCAGCCUGCACAAAAGCUGGCAUAAAGACAUAAAGAGGGCACAGCAAAAAAAUGUGGGCAGGGACAUACAGAGCUACCAACAUGUCUUCAAACACAGGAUCACUGUAUUCUUUCUAAAUUAUCUUUUCUGUAUCUUUUGCUUUUAGGACUAAACUCCAGUUUUCCUGGCCCAUUUUGCAGCAGUCUUUUGUGUACAAGAACUACAACUCUGGAACAAACAAACAAACAAAAAACAAAAUAAAAAAAGCAGCCUGAUCUAACCCAGAACAGUGAAUGGACAUUGAAACCAAGCUGAGGAUGCCUCAACCUUGUAAAACCUUUUUCUCUCAUCUUCUGAAGAAGAAAUUCCUCUGGAGUCUUCCUCAGUUAGUCUGAAAUACACUUCUGCUUGUCAGGAGUGAAAUAUUCUUAUUAACCUUUUUUUUUUUUCUGCUGGGCAUCAGAUAAGACAGUCUUUGUCCCAGCUUUUACUGGAGCUCCCAGUGUCUCUUUUGGGAAUGAUUCUGUGUGUUCAGGCAGUGGCUGGUGACCACAAUAAAACCUGUAUGACUCUGA